rnacentral:rRNA from 1 species
CUACGGGAGGCACCAGUGGGGAAUAUUGGGCAAUGGGCGCAAGCCUGACCCAGCAACGCCGCGUGAGGGAAGAAGGUUUUCGGAUUGUAAACCUCUGUCCUUGGGGACGAAGAAGUGACGGUACCCAAGGAGGAAGCUCCGGCUAACUACGUGCCAGCAGCCGCGGUAAUACGUAGGGAGCAAGCGUUGUCCGGAAUUACUGGGCGUAAAGGGUGCGUAGGCGGCAUAUUAAGUCAGGUGUGAAAUACUCGGGCUCAACCCGAGGGGUGCAUUUGAAACUGAUAAGCUUGAGUGUGAGAGAGGAAAGUGGAAUUCCUAGUGUAGCGGUGGAAUGCGUAGAUAUUAGGAGGAACACCAGUGGCGAAGGCGACUUUCUGGCUCAUAACUGACGCUGAGGCACGAAAGCGUGGGGAGCAAACAGGAUUAGAUACCCUCGUAGUC